AAACACCCGGGAAAAAUCUUCCCGUGUGUCAACACCCGGGAAUGCUCACACGGGAGCGUUGAAGCUUUCCCGACUUGGAUUCCCGGGUAUCAGGAAGGCAGCGCUCAGGAAAGCUCUAGACAUCCUGGGUGGUUAGAGCAGCACGGGAGAAAAAUCCAACGCUCGGGAUGUUCAACGGAACGGAAACGGCAACGGAAUACUUCUCGGGUGUUGGUUCUUUUGCAACACCCGGGAUGUUUCAGUACUACAGCUCAACAUUCUUCCCGUGUGCUAACCACACCCAGGAAGUUUCUGGCCUACAGUUUACCAUCACCCAGGUAGCAGAAAUAAUAAGCAAUGUAAUAGAAUUGGUACAAGCACUCAAAUAUUCAGCAAUGUAAUACAAUCAGUGCAAGUACUAAGCAUAAACUGAUCUGUACAAAUGUUAAUACCAGAUAUUUGUUUUAGUUGCACACAUACACAUUCAAACAGCCACAACCAAUCUAUGGAAUACACACAAAAGUAAUGUCUGCUCCUUCACAUAGGUCGAUUUUUUUCGAACAUCAUAAGUACCAGUUCUUGAAUAAUAUCUGGGAGUCCAUUGGAUAGGUAGGACCAAAAUAACACGAACUACAUCCAAAAGUCAUUGUUCCAGAUCUUGAUGUUUGGAUGGAUUUCUGUAGCAAUGAAUCAUGGCUGGCAAUUGGACACACUUGAUCUAGAUGAUGGCUGAAAAAUUAUAGUGUGUCAGAAGGUGCUGAUAAAUAUUGUAUAGAAUAUAUUGCCAGAUAAAUAUUGCUAUAGCAUAUUAUGAAAGUUUAAGAGUGCACAUUGUUAGAUUCAUGCCUAGAUGGAUUAAAAUCACAAGCCCAAAGACAAUUAACAGUACAAAUGUCAAGCAUGCCAUUUGUCUAACCAAGUGGUUCCUACUUGUCCUGUACAAAGAGCCCAGUUAGCACAAACCAGGUAGAAGAUACAUAAAGAACUAGAUUGAACUACAGCUAGCAACUAGAUACAUGCAUCAAAUGUAGUUAGUCUUACUUCUUAGGUACCUAUGCAUUUUACCUAUUCAGAUUAAACUAUGUGUUAUAUCUCAGGCAACUGUUUACAUAUUGAAUGCAUUCAGAUUAUAUGCUUUUUCGAAGAUGGAACUAUCCGGUAAAAAGGUCAUUAAUGUUGGUAUAAGAUUGCUCACCUAAAUAGACAGUGGGGCAUGUUGGGGCCGCUGGUCGUGGAGGCAAAACAUUAACUUUCAUUGCAGAUUGAAGCGCCUGAAAUUUAUUUACACAUGACAAUGCAAAUAGUUAAAUUUAUACAUGUUGAUGAAUUUUAAAAUUAAUAAGUACAUAAAGGAGGCAAAACUACAAGUUACCAGCUAUAUCGCAGAUGUUAAGUAACAUGUUUCAUGUUGACA
rnacentral:lncRNA from 1 species